rnacentral:rRNA from 1 species
GACGAACGCUGGCGGCGUGCUUAACACAUGCAAGUCGAACGGAAAGGCCCUGCUUUUGUGGGGUGCUCGAGUGGCGAACGGGUGAGUAACACGUGAGUAACCUGCCCUUGACUUUGGGAUAACUUCAGGAAACUGGGGCUAAUACCGGAUAGGAGCUCCUGCUGCAUGGUGGGGGUUGGAAAGUUUCGGCGGUUGGGGAUGGACUCGCGGCUUAUCAGCUUGUUGGUGGGGUAGUGGCUUACCAAGGCUUUGACGGGUAGCCGGCCUGAGAGGGUGACCGGCACAAUUGGGACGGGGAAAGGGCCCGAAACCCACCGGGAGGAAGGAGGGGGGAAGUUGUACAAAGGGGCGGAAGCCGGGUGGAGAAACCCCCGGGGGGGGAGGGCGGCCUUCGGGUGGAAAACCCCUUUCGCCGGGAAGGAAGGGGUAGGGAGGGUAAGGGGAAAAAAAGCCCCGGUGACAUACGG